rnacentral:rRNA from 1 species
UACGUAGGAGGCGAGCGUUGUCCGGAUUUACUGGGCGUAAAGAGCGCGUAGGCGGUGGCCUAAGUCUUGCGUGAAAUCUCCCGGCUUAACUGGGAGGGUGCGUAGGAUACUGGGUUGCUGGAGGGCAUCAGAGGAAAGCGGAACUCCCGGUGUAGUGGUGAAAUGCGUAGAUAUCGGGAAGAACACCAGUGGCGAAGGCGGCUUUCUGGGGUGUACCUGACGCUGAGGCGCGAAAGCGUGGGGAGCGAACCGG